rnacentral:sRNA from 1 species
UCCAUGUCAGCCGGCCUCUCCUUGCGGGCCUGCUUGGGUGCUUUGGUCCUUUUGUGGGAACUGUAGUUUCCCAUGGCAGGGCUGGUCACUACUGGGGACGAUGGCCCACACUCCGUCUGCUCUGCCCCCUGGCCCUGGCAACAUUGUGACCUCACGGGCUGACCUCACCAAUUGCAGGCUCUGAGCACCGCCUUCCAGGGCCCACAGGAGUAUGAGAGGGCCUCCAAAGUGGACCAGUUUGUGACACGCUUCCUGCUGCGGGAGACGGUGAGCCAGCUGCAAGCCCUGCAGAGCUCGCUGGAGGGGGCGUCAGAUACCCUGGAGGCCCAGGCCCAUGGCUGGCGGUCAGACGCAGAGAGCGUGGAGGCGCAGAGCAGGCUCUGCGGCAGCCGGCAGGCAGGACGCCGAGCCCUGAGGAGUGUCAGCCGGUCAUCCACCUGGUCCCCCGGCUCUUCUGACACAGGGCGCAGCUCAGAGGCCGAGAUGCAGUGGCGGCUCCAGGUGAACCGCCUCCAGGAGCUCAUCGACCAGCUCGAGUGCAAGGUGAGGGCCGUGGGGCCAGGGCCCCACAAGGGAGGACCCUCCUGGUAUCUGCCAGAGCCAGGCCCAUGCUGGAGGCCCGGCCCACACUCUGUGCCCUCACAGGCCCCCCGGCUGGAACCCCUGCGUGAAGAGGACCUGGCCAAGGGGCCUGACUUGCACAUCCUCGUGGCCCAGAGGCAGGUCCAGGUGGCAGAGGAAGGCCUGCAGGACUUCCACCGAGCCCUGCGCUGCUACGUGGACUUCACAGGGGCCCAGAGCCAUUGUCUGCAUGUGUCCGCCCAGAAGAUGCCGGAUGGUGCCUCCUUCACCCUGUAUGAGUUCUGGCAGGAUGAGCCCUCCUGGAGAAGGCACCAGCAGUCGCCUGGCAGCAAGGCCUUCCAGCGCGUCCUCAUCGACCACCUGCGGGCCCCGGACACCCUCACCACUGUGUUCUUCCCAGCCUCCUGGUGGAUAAUGAAUAACAACUGAGCCAGACCUGCACACGCCGAGGGCCCCGGGACCCUGCCUGCCUCCCUCUGGAGCCUUCUGGACUGGCCAGCCCAGCGCAAAGACCAGGGCUUGUCUCCUCCUGGACUUGGGCCUGGUGGAAGGGCUCUCAGCCCAGGGAUCAGGGACUGGGCUGCUUGCUUUCUAUUUAUUAUUGAUUUAUUUAUCCCUGUAUUUUAUUGUUUGUCACUUCAGCCUCCAAGCUACUUUGGCUUCUGCCUGGCUCAGGAGACCUGGAUUCUGGUCC